rnacentral:snRNA from 1 species
UCGCUUAGCAAGCAGCACGGAGACUAGGGUUGGAGCAGUACAGAGAGGAUUAGCAUGACCGAUUUGCAAUGAUGACAUGCAAGUCAUGAAGCACUCUCUAUUUCA